AUCUCAGCCGCGAUGGUGGCUACCUCAUCGGGUACGACAGAGACUCGGCACACCUGGACCCCCAGGGAGCGCAGUGUCCGGCACAGAAAUGGCGGCAGACCCCUGGCCAGAAUCCCAGCCUCCAGCCACAGCGCUCUGCCCUGUGCCUCCUGAACAACUUUCCUAACGUGUCACUGUGAUUGCAUCACUCUUGGCUCAAAAGCCAUGUGUUGUUUCCAACCAUAUACAGAAUAAAGUUCAAAUUCAUUUGCAGAAUA